CAGCUGAGAUUGUGGUGUUGACAUCUGAUAUUGUGAUUUGGACAGCUGAGAUUGUGACUUGGACAGCUGAGAUUGUGCUGUGGACAGCUAAAAUUGUGGUGUGGAAUAAUGAUAUUGUGGUGUUGACAACAUAUUGUGGUGUGCACAUGUGAUAUUGUGGUGUGAUGGUUUAAAGUAGCAAAGGUAAAGAACGUUUGACAGCUUAGAUUUUGGUGUGGACAGCUGAUAUUGUGGUGUGGACAGCUGAGAUUGUCAUGUGGACUACUUAUAUUGUGGCUUGCAGAGCUGAUAUUGUGGUGUGAUGGUUUAAAGUACUAAAGAUUUAUUCCUUACUACCUUCCUGUCAACUAUAUCUUCCACAGCAUGAUUUAAUCUAGUCCCAAUCAUUGACUCUGGUUACCUCACCAGACGGUCCGUCCACAGAGUCACAAGCAACAGAUACUAAAACUCGGCAAAGUACAUGUACUUCAGUCUUCCAGAGGAUAUUGUUAACAAUGAUGAUUUGAUGUAAAAAAGAAAAUGUAUUUGAAUAGCUAUAUUUCUCUUGUGUCACUUGGGUGUCAAAGGUCAUUUUAGAGAUUGUCCGGGCUGUAACUUUGUAACGCAUAAACGGGCUUAAAUGUUUGCCUCAGCUAGACAGUGUUGUGUUGAACUCCCAGUCCUUUUGACCGCUGGUGGGCUCGACAUGUUUCCUGUGGGCAUUUAGUUUAUAUUGCAUAUACUUCAAGUAGAUACACAUUU